GUUAUCCUACGGGGCGCAGCAGUAGGGAAUCUUCCACAAUGGGCGAAAGCCUGAUGGAGCAACGCCGCGUGGGUGAAGAAGAUCUUCGGAUCGUAAGACCCUGUUGUUAGAGAAGAAAGUGCGUGAGAGUAACUGUUCACGUUUCGACGGUAUCUAACCAGAAAGCCACGGCUAACUACGUGCCAGCAGCCGCGGUAAUACGUAGGUGGCAAGCGUUAUCCGGAUUUAUUGGGCGUAAAGGGAACGCAGGUGGUCUUUUAAGUCUGAUGUGAAAGCCUUCGGCUUAACCGGAGU
rnacentral:rRNA from 1 species